rnacentral:rRNA from 1 species
AACACGUAAAGAACCUACCUUAUAGACAGGGACAACUAUUGGAAACGAUAGCUAAUACCUGAUAAGAAAGAAACUCGCAUGAGAGAAGUUCGAAAGUCGGAGCAAUCUGACACUAUAAGAUGGCUUUGCGGUGCAUUAGCUAGUUGGUAGGGUAAAAGCCUACCAAGGCGACGAUGCAUAGCCGACCUGAGAGGGUGAUCGGCCACAUUGGGACUGAGACACGGCCCAGACUCCUACGGGAGGCAGCAGAA